AUGUAGAAUGUUAUUAUAUUGAAAAAUACAACUUUCAACAACGGAUCUCUUGGCUCUCGCAUCGAUGAAGAACGCAGCGAAAUGCGAUAAGUAAUGUGAAUUGCAGAAUUCAGUGAAUCAUCGAAUCUUUGAACGCACCUUGCGCUCCUUGGUAUUCCGAGGAGCAUGCCUGUUUGAGUGUCAUGUAAUCAUCAACCUCCCUUCGCUUUUGCGUUCGGGAUGGCUUGGAAUUGGAGGUUUCUUGUCGGCUCUCGCGAGUCGGCUCCUCUUGAAGACAUUAGUCGGACUCGGUCGCUCCGUCGCGGUACGCGGUGUGAUAACUUAUUCACCCAUCGGUAAACCCGCCUCUUGCGUCCGGCUGGCUUCUAACUCGCGCUUUGGCGCACUUUUGACAAUCUGACCUCAAAUCAGGUAGGAUUACCCGCUGAACUUAAGCAUAUCAAUAAGCGGAGGAAAAGAAACUAACAAGGAUUCCCCUAGUAACUGCGAGUGAAGCGGGAUGAGCUCAAAUUUAAAAUCUGGCGGUCUCUGGCCGUCCGAGUUGUAAUCUGGAGAAGCGUUUUCCGCGC
rnacentral:rRNA from 1 species